rnacentral:rRNA from 1 species
UACGUAGGUGACCAGCGUUGUCCGGAUUUACUGGGCGUAAAGAGCGCGCAGGCGGUCGUUCAAGUCGAGUGUGAAAGCCCCCGGCUCAACUGGGGAGGGUCACUUGAUACUGAUCGACUCGAAGGCAGGAGAGGGAAGCGGAAUUCCCGGUGUAGUGGUGAAAUGCGUAGAUAUCGGGAGGAACACCAGUGGCGAAGGCGGCUCUCUGGGACGGUACUGACGCUGAGACGCGAAAGCGUGGGGAGCAAACAGG